AGACACCUGCCGUCCCGUGGACCUAGAUCAGCCUGAAGGGCACAUCUCCCCUCCGCUGCAGCAGGAUGGCUGACAUCCCUGCAGGGUGCCCUGGGCAUGGAGUUCCCGUGACAACGAGAUGCAGCUUUCCAGGGCCACAGAUUCCUUGCAAGGUGGGGGGGCAGGGAUCACUCACCCUGCUGCUGAAAUGCAGCCACCUCUGGGGUGGAACGCACUGGAGAGGACGUUGCCGCAAACCCUGCUGCAUGGAUGCUUAACUCCCAGGAAGCAGACAGGGCUGUAGGAAUGUGAGAGCAGCAUCUGUCACCAGUUCACAGCGGCGAACAGUUUUGUCUGGUUCUCGGGACCCAGCUGGCAUGAGCUGAGGGAGACCGGACAGACGGACGGACGGACGGCAGCUGCAAUUCUGCCACCAGCAGCCAGAAAAACAGGAAUGGAUGGGUGGGGGGGCAGGAGAUGCAAUAAAAGCCCUGACCACUGGGUGGUGCCCUCGUUCUGUGCACAGGCCACCCAGAGAUACUGCGGGGGGCGGGGGGGGGUGCGAUACCCACCACCAGCCACUGCCCCAGCUGCAGGCCUUGGAACAGCCUGAAGAGGGGGAGUUGCAAUACAAGCACUGGCCACUGGGGGGCACCCGUGGUGUGCAAUGUUGAGCUGGGAAUUCAGGGCUAAGAGAGGUGUGAUUAUUCCCCCCCCCCCCCAAUCGCUCCAUCCCUAUAGGGCUCCUG